rnacentral:rRNA from 1 species
GAUGAACGCUGGCGGCGUGCCUAAUACAUGCAAGUCGAGCGAACGGACGAGAAGCUUGCUUCUCUGAUGUUAGCGGCGGACGGGUGAGUAACACGUGGAUAACCUACCUAUAAGACUGGGAUAACUUCGGGAAACCGGAGCUAAUACCGGAUAAUAUUUUGAACCGCAUGGUUCAAAAGUGAAAGACGGUCUUGCUGUCACUUAUAGAUGGAUCCGCGCUGCAUUAGCUAGUUAGUAAGGUAACGGCUUACCAAGGCAACGAUGCAUAGCCGACCUGAGAGGGUGAUCGGCCACACUGGAACUGAGACACGGUCCAGACUCCUACGGGAGGCAGCAGUAGGGAAUCUUCCGCAAUGGGCGAAAGCCUGACGGAGCAACGCCGCGCGAGUGAUGAAGGUCUUCGGAUCGUAAAACUCUGUUAUUAGGGAAGAACAUAUGUGUAAGUAACUGUGCACAUCUUGACGGUACCUAAUCAGAAAGCCACGGCUAACUACGUG